UUGACCUAAUUUCAUCAGUAUAACGAUAAGUCAUUCAAGAAAGAUGACCUGACUGAUUAUGUAUUGUUACAAUGAAAGGAAGUAUAUAAAUAUAAUUGUUUACUAUGAUAUACAGCAAAUACAAUGGAUAGUAAAAAAGGUAUGAUAAAUGACAUUUUUAAAAAUUUGGUAUCGUUUAUUUUUUAUAUCAAGAAACUAUUUUCUUAGUAUGCAUUUUUCAAUUUUCAGUUUGAAAAGGUUUAUAUCAACUCUAUACUUUAGUCUCAAAUAUUAAUUUUCAUUUAAUUAAAAUAACAGAUUCUGUGUAAAUUAAAAAAAAAUGAAACUAUAGAAAAACAAACUAAACGUAAAGACUACUCUGCAAAGUUACAUUUAAGUAAACGGUUAAUAGACAAAAAAAUAAUAAAAUUUUAAUGAAUGCAUAUAGGUACUGUAAAAGACAAAUAGAUCAUGUGUUAUUAUUAAUCUAUGAAUAUAGUUGUUUAAUUUUGAAAGGAAAAGAGGACAUAUAAAAAUUGAUUGCUAGAAUUCACAUGUAUUAAAUAUAUAUUAAUUCUAGUUAAAGUCGGUACAAAGAAAAAGUGUAAUGACACUAUUAAUUGUAAAUUACUUAUUAAUUGAAUGCUUGUUAACUAUAAAAUUGUAUGUAUUCAAUGUAUUGUAUUGAGUUAUUUCAUUCAGGUCAGGGAAUACAUGUAAUACAAAUAAUAGUUCUGAUCAGCUUUGUUGUCAACAUUUGCACAGCGAUUGAUAAAGACAUCUCUCUUACUUCCUCAUGUGAUGGCAAACAAUACAAAUUAAAAAAUUUCCCAACUGGAUGUAAACCUGUCUCCUAUUUAGUUGUAACAGUCGACGAUGAUGUUCUACAAAAAGAACUCAGUAAAUUUAAUUGAUCAGAGUUAUGUUUUUGAAAGUAACAAUAAUUCAUAUUAUGAUGUUUUAUUUUCAAAUUGUGAUUUUUAUCGUAUUUUAGUUUUUGGUUCUGUUUUGUGUUGUAUUGUUUAUUUUGUAUAUAAGAAAAUGUAACAUGCAUCAUUAGUGUGGAUAAAUCAGGAAACCAUUAAAGAUUUUUUAAAAUCA